GGCCGCGUGGCCUAAUGGUUAAGGCGUUGGUUUUCGGCACCAAAGAUUUGUGCGUUCGAAUCGCACCGUGGUCG
rfam:Blastomyces dermatitidis ER-3 genomic scaffold supercont1.2, whole genome shotgun sequence.